rnacentral:rRNA from 1 species
UACGAGAGGCCCAAACGUUAUUCGGAAUUACUGGGCUUAAAGAGUUCGUAGGCGGCAUGAAAAGCAGGGUGUGAAAGCCCUCGGCUCAACCGAGGAAUUGCGCUCUAAACUGUCGUGCUUGAGGAACCUAGAGGUGAGCAGAACAGAUGGUGGAGCGGUGAAAUGCGUUGAUAUCAUCUGGAAUACCGGAGGCGAAGGCGGCUCACUGGGAGUUUUCUGACGCUGAGGAACGAAAGCCAGGGUAGCGAACGGG